rnacentral:rRNA from 1 species
CAGCACCUCAAGUGGUCAGGAUGAUUAUUGGGCCUAAAGCAUCCGUAGCCGGCUCUGUAAGUUUUCGGUUAAAUCUGUAUGCUCAACAUACAGGCUGCCGGGAAUACUGCAGAGCUAGGGAGUGGGAGAGGUAGACGGUACUUGGUAGGAAGGGGUAAAAUCCUUUGAUCUAUUGAUGACCACCUGUGGCGAAGGCGGUCUACCAGAACACGUCCGACGGUGAGGGAUGAAAGCUGGGGGAGCAAACCGGAUUAGAUACCCGAGUAGUCC